AUGGGGUCCAACGAGGCGGACAAGCCGCUGCGCCGGAUCGGCGCGUCGUUCGAGCAGCUCGCGGCCGUCGCCAAACAGCAGCAACAGCCCGCGAUGGCGGCGGGGGACUUCUCGCGCGCCUGCUCCAACGUCUCCGUCCUCUUUGGCUGCCUCGGCAUCGCCUUCAAGUUCGCCGAGAUGGACUACGUCGCCAAGGUUAAUGAUUUACUGGAGGCAUCCAAGACGAUUUCAACAUUGCCCUCCAUGGUUGAGCUUGACAUUCAAAAGGGCACUGUCAGGCAGGCGGGGAGCCAUACGAGGAAUCUACUGAGGGUUAAGCGUGGGAUUGAUAUGGUGAAAGUUCUGUUUGAGCAGAUAUUGGUCACAGAAGGCAACUCCCUGAAGGACGCAGCGUCAAAGGCUUAUGCUCAGGUGUUUGCUCCUCACCAUGGCUGGGCCAUAAGGAAGGCCGUUGGUGCUGGAAUGUAUGCCCUCCCUUCUAAGUCGCAGCUCUUGAAGAAACUGAAUGAAGAUGAAAAUUCGGCAAGGGCUCAAAUGCAGAGUUUCGUCAGGUCGUCUGGACCAGUAAUUCUCUACGUCGAAGACCUCUUCACCUCCAAGAAUUUAGGGCUGGACUGGUGA
rnacentral:rRNA from 1 species